rnacentral:rRNA from 1 species
CCUACGGGGGGCUGCAGUGAGGAAUAUUGGUCAAUGGACGAGAGUCUGAACCAGCCAAGUAGCGUGAAGGAUGACUGCCCUAUGGGUUGUAAACUUCUUUUAUAUGGGAAUAAAAUGUUCCACGUGUGGGACUUUGUAUGUACCAUAUGAAUAAGGAUCGGCUAACUCCGUGCCAGCAGCCGCGGUAAUACGGAGGAUCCGUGCGUUAUCCGGAUUUAUUGGGUUUAAAGGGAGCGUAGGAGGCGUGUUAGGGCAGUUGUGAAAGUUUGGGGCUCAACCGUAAAAUUGCAGUUGAAACUGGCAGUGUAGAGUACAGUAGAGGUGGGCGGAAUGCGUGGUGUAGCGGUGAAAUGCUUAGAUAUCACGAAGAACUCCGAUUGCGAAGGCAGCUCACUGGACUGCAACUGACACUGAGGCUCGAAAGUGUGGGUAUCAAACAGGAUUAGAUACCCUAGUAGUC